rnacentral:rRNA from 1 species
CCCUCCGUCUUCCGCGACUUGCCGAACACCAGGUAACCCUAAGCUUUAAAUGCAAAAGUGAUUUAGCUUGAGCUAGGAUAAGAAUUUUUGCACCAGACCCUCACCUCUCUCGUUAAAAAAAAAAGGGGGAAAGUGCUACGGCCUGAGCGGCUAAUGGCCUGGUACUGUCGGCUUUGAGGCUCCACUGAAGGACUAGAACUUCAUGGGCUAAGAUGACAUCGGACAAGCAACUCACGCGUUGCACGGGGGACCGACGAACCAAUGCAAGUCACCACUGGAUACACAGACUUUAUUGCCUCCUAUUCUUCGCAGAGUCUUUAUUUGAUGCUACCUUGUAGAGGCUUUUGUAACUGUACUGGGGGGUACAAUGCGUGCCUAUACGAUCGUUUGUAUGCUAUACCUCUUGAUUCACACUCCGAAAUUCAAAAGGAUCGAUAGGCCACGCUUUCACGGUCUGUAUUCGUACUGAAAAUCAAAAUCAAGCGAGCUUUUGCCCUUUUGCUCUACGCGAGGUUUCCGUCCUCGCUGAGCUCGCCUUAGGACACCUGCGUUACCUUUUGACAGAUGUACCGCCCCAGGCGAGGUGCCGGCGCGAGCUUAAUUCCAGAAGCGAUGGGCUUGCGCCUCGCUCUCCGCUCGACUGAAUAAGUAAAGAAACGAUAAACACCUGCGGAUCGCUAGCUGGCAUCGUUUAUAAUCAGAACUACGACAGUAUCUGAUCGUCUUCGAGCCUCUGACUUUCAUUCUUGACCAAUGGCAAAUGCUUUCGCAGUUGUUCGUCUUGCAAUGAUCCAAGAAGUUCGCCUCUAACACCGCAAUACGGAUGCCCACGUCUGUCCCUCUUAAUCAUUGCCUCGUGUUGCCAAAACCAGCAAAAUAGAAGCGAGGUGCUAUUCCAUUAUUCCAUGCACCAUUAUUCAGGCUGACGAGCCUGCUUUGAACACUCUAAUUUCUUCAAAGUAUGCCUGAGAUCCAACUACGAGCUUUUUAAUCGCAACAACUUUAUUAUACGCUAUUGGAGAUGGAAUUACCACGGCUGCUGGCAUCAGACUUGCCCUCCAAUUGAUCCUCGUUAACGGGUUUAAAGUGUACUCAUUCCAAUUACGGAGCCUCAAAAGAGUUCCGUAUUGUUAUUUUUCGUCACUACCUCCCCGAGCUGGGAAGUUGCGCGCCUUGGAUGUGGUAGCCGUUUCUCAUGCUCCCUCUCCGGAAUCGAACCCUUAUUCCCGUAGUCAACAUGGUAGACAUGUCACGUACCAUUGACAUUUGAUAAGGCAGACAGGAAAAAGAUACUUCGCCGGCUCGAGGCCAUGCGAUCGGCACAAAGUUAUCCAGUCACCAAAGGGGACGGGGCCGAAACCCCGACUGGUUUUGAACUAAUAAAAGCGCUCUUUCCUGGCUUUGACACCCGGUCGGAGCUGGUUUGCAUGUAUUAGCUCUAGAAUUGCCACAGUUAUCCAAGUAGAAAUGGAUCAUCUAAGGAACCUCGACUGAUUUAAUGAGCCAAUUGCGGGUUCACAAUACGAGGGUGUGAAGUUAGACAUACAUGGCUUAAUCUUUGAGACAAGCAUAUGACUACUGGCAGGAUCAACCAGAA